AUGGCAGGCAUCCUCAGAGGUUGUGAAGUCUGUUGGAAACUAGGCAAGUGGAGUUUAUAUACCUGUGGAAAGAAAGAACUCCGAAAGACAUACAACAACCCUGUGAUCCCGGCCAUGAAAGCCUUCAACAACACAAUAAUAAUAAAAGACGUCAGCCGGCAUUUGGAAAUAGACAUUGACAAAAUUACGAUCUGCCAGCUGCAAAAGGCCACCCUACUGGGAUCUGCGCGCAUCAUCCGAAAAUACAUCACACAGUCCUAGACACUUGGGAAGUGUUUGACUUGUGAUUUUGUGAUAUGAAAUCCAGCAUAUCUAUCUUGUUUGCUGUGUCAUAAUAAAAUAAUAAUAAUAAUAAUAAUAAUAAUAAUAAUAAUAAUAAUAAUAAUAAUAAUAACUUUAUUUAUAUACUGCCCUAUCUCCCAGAUGGGACUCAGGGCGGUUUCCAACACAAACAUUACAUAACAACAUAAUAACACAUUAUCAAGCAAAGUAAAAUUAUACAAUUAUAGCAAUAAAUAACACUUAAAUGACCUGAUCAAGGGGACGGGAACCAUAAAUCCAAUAUAUUAAAAUGUAUCAUUUUAGGCUAGAGAAAUCUUGUGCAAUAUAUUCAGGCCCAGAAAUGCUCCUGGACAUGUAUUUUAUUUUGAAAAGUGGAGAUUUUCACUUCUUUCAAGUCUGGGAUAUCUUUCGAACUGGACAUCAACUCAGUUGAAGAUAUGAUUUUGUCCUUUGACAAGGCCUGAGCAAACUACAACUUACUGUGAGUUUUCCAGGCAGUAUGGCCAUUCCAGAAGCACUCUCUCCUGACAUUUUGCCCACAUCUAUGGCAGGCAUCCUCAGAAGUUGUGAGCUCUGUUGGAAACGAGGCAAGUGGGGUAUAUAUAUAUAUCUGUGGCCAGCUUGAUUAGCACUCAAUAACCUGGAAGCUUCAAAGCUCAUGUUCCAGAAGCACUCUCUCCUGACGUUUUGCCCACACCUACGGCAGGCAUCCUCAGAGGUUGUGAGUUCUGUUGGAAACGAGGCAAGUGGGGUAUAUAUAUCUGUGGCCAGCUUGAUUAGCACUUAAUAACCUGGAAGCUUCAAAGCCCAUGUUCAAGAAGCGCUCUCUCCUGACGUUUUGCCCCAUCUACGGCAGGCAUCCUCAGAAGUUGUGAGGUCUGUUGGAAAGUAGGCAAGUGAAGUUUAUAUGAGGUCUCUUCCAACUCUACUAAUCUAUGAUUCUAUGAUUCUGUAUAUCUGUGGCCAGCAUUUAAUAACAUUGAAGCUUCAAAGCCUGGCUGCUUCCUGUCUGGAGGAAUCCUUUGUCGGGAUGUAUUAGGUUUUUUUUAGUGUUGUUUUUUAUUUACUGUUGUGAUGUUUCUUCCACAUCUGUGGCAGGCAUCCUCAGAGGUUGUGAGGAGAGAAUGUUUCUGGAACAUGGCCAUAGAGCCUGGAAAACUCACAGCAACCCAGUGAUUCUGGCCAUGAAAGCCUUCAACAACACAUCAAACCCAAUACUCUGGGGGUUGGUGCUCAUUUCCAUUUCUAAGCCGAAGAACCGGCGUUGUCUGUAGACACCUCCAAGGUCAUGUGGCCACUGGCAUGACUGCAUGGAAUGCUAUUACCUUCCCACCGGAGCAGUACCUAUUGAUCUACUCACAUUUGCAUGUUUUCAAACUGCUAGGUUGGCAGAAGCUGGGGCUAACAGGAGGAGCUCACUCUGGUCCCCGGAUUCGAACCUGUGACCUUUUGGUCUGCAAGUUCAGCAGCUCAGUGCUUUAACAUAUACACACACACACACACACACACAUAUAUAUAUACAUAUAUACAUAUACAGUAGAGUCUCACUUAUCCAACAUAAAUGGGCCGGCAGAAAGUUGGAUAAGCGAAUAUGUUGGAUAAUGAGGAGAGAUUAAGAAAAAGCCUAUUAAACAUCAAACUAGGUUAUGAUUUUACAAAUUAAGCACCAAAACAUCAUGUUAGACAACAAAUUUGACAGAAAAAGUAGUUCAAUACGCAGUAAUGCUAUGUAGUAAUUACUGUAUUUACAAAUUUAGCACCAAAAUACUGUAUUUACUAUAUUACUGUAGCACCAAAAUAUCACAAUGUAUUGAAAACAUUGACUACAAAAAUUUGUUGGAUAAUCCAGAACGUUGGAUAAGCGAGACUCUACUGUAGUUACAGUAGAGUCUCACUUAUCCAAGCUAAACGGGCCGGCAGAAGCUUGGAUAAGCGAAUAUCUUGGAUAAUAAGGAAGGAUUGAGGAAAAGCCUAUUAAACAUCAAAUUACUGUAUAUACUCGAGUAUAAGCCUAGUUUUUCAGCCCAUUUUUUAAGAUUGAAAGAGCCCCCCUCGGCUUAUACUCGGGUGAGGGUCCUGGUUAGCUUAUAUUUGGAUCAGUUUAUACUCGAGAAUAUAUGGUACAGUAGAGUCUCACUUAUCCAAGCUAAACGGGCCGGCAGAAGUUUGGGAUAAGCGAAUAUGUUGGAUAAUAAGGAGAAGAUUAAGGAGAAGCCUAUUAAACAUCAAAUUAGAGUAGGAGUUCACA
rnacentral:lncRNA from 1 species